AAAGUGGAUCAAGCGCUCGCUUCCCACUUUCCUGGAAGGAUAGUAGGGAGAGGAAAGUCCGGACUCCGCAGGACAGGGUGGCCGUUAACGGCGGCCCCGAGCGAUCGGGGGAAAGUGCCACAGAAAAGACACCGCCCCUUACGGGGUAAGGGUGAAAUGGUGAGGUAAGAGCUCACCGGUCCACCAGUGAUGGUGGUUGCAUGGUAAACCCCACCCGGAGCAAGGCCAAAUAGGAGGGUUGGAUGGUCCGUCCUUAGCCCUCGGGUAAGGUCGCUGGAUCCCAUGCGCAAGCAUGGGACCAGAAGAAUGAACGCUCUGGCUUCCUAUUAGGGGGCCUGACAGAAUCCGGCUUAUCGAUCCACUUUAGCC
rnacentral:RNase_P_RNA from 1 species